rnacentral:misc_RNA from 1 species
GGAAGUACUGUCCGGAGACUAGUAGGGAUAGAAAUGAAGGGUGAAAACGACUUACAAAAGCUUGUAAGCAUCCAUUUUUUUAGUAGAGAGCUUGGUGAGUAUUUGCUUAAAGAGAGGCCUGGUAUGCUAUAUUUCAUCUUUAACACUGAAGCUAUUGGAGUUCUCGUUGCUCAUGAUCUCAAGCAAGGAGAAUUUAUAUUGCAGGUACCAUUCUAUCCUCCG